GAUGAACGCUGGCGGCGUGCCUAAUACAUGCAAGUCGAGCGAACAGACGAGGAGCUUGCUCCUCUGACGUUAGCGGCGGACGGGUGAGUAACACGUGGAUAACCUACCUAUAAGACUGGGAUAACUUCGGGAAACCGGAGCUAAUACCGGAUAAUAUAUUGAACCGCAUGGUUCAAUAGUGAAAGACGGUUUUGCUGUCACUUAUAGAUGGAUCCGCGCCGCAUUAGCUAGUUGGUAAGGUAACGGCUUACCAAGGCAACGAUGCGUAGCCGACCUGAGAGGGGGAUCGGCCACACUGGAACUGAGACACGGCCCAGACCCCUACGGGAGGCAGCAGGAGGGAACCUUCCGCAAUGGGCGAAAGCCUGACGGAGCAACGCCGGGGGGGUGAUGAAGGUUUUCGGAUCGUAAAACUCUGUUAUUAGGGAAAAAAAAAUUUGUAAGUAACUAUGCACGUUUUGACGGUACCAAAUCAGAAAGCCACGGCUAACUACGU
rnacentral:rRNA from 1 species